rnacentral:sRNA from 1 species
CAGAGUGCGUGUGUAAAAUGAAAUGAGAGAUGGGGAGAGAGAGUUCGUUGGGAUAAAUGCAAAGCAAAACAACAAACAUAAUUAAAGAGAUGCUCCUCAAUUACUCUCAACAAGGUGUUAACACUAAAGGGGUGGUGGGGGAAUGCAAGUAGUGGAAUUGGAACAUCUAACUGUCAACUAACAAGUGGUUGUGGAUAAUAUAACAUUCAACAUAACAAAAAGGGCUGCGCAGCAGGAAUAGAUUUUUUUUUUUGUCAAUUUGGCCUGAAUCUAAAUCUGUUUCCUGGAACAACAGAAAAUGCUGAAAAUGGUUAUCGGAGCUCAAAUGGAAGAGAAGUAACCCAACAUUUCG